ACGCAGCGAUGCCGCGUGAGUGACAAGGUCUUAGGAUUGUAAAGCUCUUUUCUGAGGGAAGAAUAGGUCUGGUAGGAAAUGACUGGAUUCUGACGGUACCUCAGGAAUAAGGAACGGCUAACUCCGUGCCAGCAGCCGCGGUAAUACGGAGGUUCCAAGCGUUGUUCGGAAUUACUGGGCGUAAAGGGAGCGCAGGCGGACAGGUCAGUUUAAAGUGGAAUCCCAGGGCUCAACCCUGGACGUGCUUUGGAUACUGCCUGUCUUGAGUUCGUGAGAGGAAAGUGGAAUUCAGGGUGUAGCGGUGAAAUGCUUAGAUAUCCUGAGGAACACCAGUGGCGAAAGCGACUUUCUGGCACGAAACUGACGCUGAGGCUCGAAAGCAUGGGUAGCGAACGGGAUUAGAUACCCCGGUAGUCCAUGCCGUAAACGUUGUAUACUAGGUGCGGGAGGUAUCGACCCCUUCCGUGCCGAAGCUAACGCAUUAAGUAUACCGCCUGGGGAGUACGCGCGCAAGCGUGAAACUCAAAGGAAUUGACGGGGGC
rnacentral:rRNA from 1 species